CCGGGGUGGCGUAGUUGGUAGCGCGUCGGACUCAUAAUCCGAAGGUCGCGGGUUCGAGCCCCGCUCCCGGCACCA
rnacentral:tRNA from 3 species